GGGUCUUGCUCUGUUACCCAGGCUGGAGUGCAAUGGUGCAGUCUCGGCUCACCUCAACUUCAGCCUCCUGGGUUCAAGCGAUUCUCCUGCCUCAGCCUCCCAAGUAGCUGGGAUUACAGGCAUGUGCCACCACACCUGGCUAAUUUUUUCUUUUUUUGUUUUGAGAUGGAGUUUCGCUGUUGUUGCCCAGGCUGGAGUGCAAUGGCACAAUCUCGGCUCACCACAAUCUUUGCCUUUCGGGUUCAAGGGAUUCUCCUUUCUCAGCCUCCCGAGUAGCUGGGAUUACAGGCAUGUGCCACCACACCCGGCUAAUGUUGUAUUUUUAGUAGAGACGGGGUUUCUCUAUGUUGGUUAGGCUGGUCUCGCUCCCUCUGCUGCCUCUUUUUUUCUUGGGGCUACCAUAACACUUUCCCUUGCCCAGCCCUGCCAACCUGGUGGGACAUUGGGCUCUGUGGCUGCUGCAACAAAUUACCACACACUUAGUGACUUAAAACAACCAAAAUGUAUUCCCUUACAGGUCUGAAGGCCAGAAUUCUACAGUAAGUCCUACUGAGUCAAGGUGGGAGCAGGGUCGGUGGCUUCCUGAGGUACAUCUUCAGUCUUAAGUCAGAUUAGAAGAUUAUGUGAAGUAAUUAACACUUAACGUUGAUUUAAUGAUAGCUUCCACAUGAAAUAGUAUGCCUCUAAGUAUUAAUUAUGUCCUAGGACAGGAGAAUUCAUGUUGUCAAAAUUCUCAUACUCUCUAGAACAAUAAACUCAUUUUCUUUUUAUUAGUAAAUAUUGCAUUUAUGGGUAGAUUUUUGUUCUUAUAGCUCGAGCUGUAAAAGCCAAAGGUCCGGUGAUGAUCCCAUACCCUUUUUUCCGUGGGCUUAUUAUAAAACAGAGUUCAGCCCCUUUUGCCCUCUUGCUUUCUUGCACUUUCUCCUUACUUUCUGGCAAAAAAGAUGUUCCAGGAUCAAUAUACUGCACCAUACAUGGAGUCAGCCAUUUCUCUAGGGAACCUUGAUUCCUUUUAGUAGAGAACACAGUUUGAGGUCUUGGACUGAAUGACUUUUGUGAACCUCCUUUCCUGAGACUACAGCCUGCAUCCCUGCAUAUAGCCCGUUUGGAGCUCUUGCUGGGCACCAACAGAUCUCCUAAAACUGCUAUAUAGUUCUGCCUCACUCUUACAAAGAUUGAUCUCUUGAGAGUUUUGUGCUCUACUCCCAGAUGUGGUCUUUCUGGUUCUGAAGCUUUUGCUUCAGUCACCCUGAAUUUUGCCAGCCCUAUGCAUGCUAUACCUUGGAUUGCCAACUUGCCCUCACUGAAGCCAGUUUCUCUGGUUAGAAUAGUUGCCCCAACCCAUGCCUAAUACUCUAGUAAACAAGGUUCUACCUGGGCUUAGGUUAACUUUUGCUCCUUUGGGCCCUGUGUUCUACAACCAGCACUAUACAGACCUGAACAAUGAAGAUGGCACAUUUUGUUCAGGGAAUGGUGAAUUAAGUGUGGCAGAAAUGCUUUGUAGAGACAGUAAUUUGCUUGUAUGGAAUUUUGCCCAAGAGACCUCAUUACAGUUUCUAAUUUUUUGAUGUUAUCAUGCAUCACUGCCCUUGUCAGAUAGUAUCAUGAUCACAAUAACAUCAAGCAUAAUAUUUCAUUGAUUCUCACAAAAACAUAAAGCAAUCCUCCCACCUUAGCCUCUCCAGUAGCUGGAACUACAGGCGUGCAUCACCAUGUCCACUUUGAAUUCUGUUUAAUUUUCACAUAACAUUUAAGACAUGUAAGAACUUAUGUCUGUCUGUGUCAUCCCUUUAUGUCAAAAGAUGUCUUUUUGUCACUUCCAGCUGGAUC
rnacentral:lncRNA from 10 species